UACGUAGGGGGGCUAGCGUUGUCCGGAAUCAUUGGGCGUAAAGAGCGUGUAGGCGGCCAGGUAGGUGGGUUGUGAAAACUGGAGGCUCAACCUUCAGACGUCGACCCAAACCCCCCUGGCUAGAGUCCGGAAGAGGAGAGUGGAAUUCCUGGUGUAGCGGUGAAAUGCGCAGAUAUCAGGAAGAACACCCGUGGCGAAGGCGGCUCUCUGGGACGGUACUGACGCUGAGACGCGAAAGCGUGGGGAGCGAACAGG
rnacentral:rRNA from 1 species